GGGGAAUAUUGGACAAUGGGCGCAAGCCUGAUCCAGCCAUGCCGCGUGAGUGAUGAAGGCCUUAGGGUUGUAAAGCUCUUUCAGUAGGGAAGAUAAUGACGGUACCUACAGAAGAAGCCCCGGCUAACUUCGUGCCAGCAGCCGCGGUAAUACGAAGGGGGCUAGCGUUGUUCGGAUUUACUGGGCGUAAAGCGCACGUAGGCGGUUUGUUAAGUCAGGGGUGAAAUCCCGGGGCUCAACUCCGGAACUGCCUUUGAUACUGGCAAGCUAGAGUCCGGAAGAGGUAAGUGGAACUCCUAGUGUAGAGGUGGAAUUCGUAGAUAUUAGGAAGAACACCAGUGGCGAAGGCGGCUUACUGGUCCGGAACUGACGCUGAGGUGCGAAAGCGUGGGGAGCAAACAGGA
rnacentral:rRNA from 1 species